UUAAAUAGCCGCAGUAUUCUGACUGUGCGAAGGUAGCAUAAUCAUUUGUCUUUUAAUUGAAGGCUUGUAUGAAUGGUUGGAUGAGGGAAUUACUUUCUUUGUAUUAAAUUUUUGAAUUUAACUUUUUAGUUAAAAGGCUAAAAUGUUUAAAUGGGACGAGAAGACCCUAUAGAAUUUUAUUAUUCAUAAAUUUUGUAACUUUAUGGUUAUUUAUAUAUUUACUAUUUUGUGAAUAAUUUUGUUGGGGCGACAGUGAGAUAUAUUUAACUCUCAUAAUUUAUUUAUUAUUGAUUUAUAUAUUAAUGAUCCUAUUGUAAGGAUAAAUAGAUUAAAUUACCUUAGGGAUAACAGCGUAAUUUUUCUGGAGAGUUCUUAUCAAUGGAGAAGUUUGCGACCUCGAUGUUGGAUUAAAAUUAGAUUUAAGUGCAGAAGCUUAAUUUCUAGGUCUGUUCGACCUUUAAAAUUUUACAUGAUCUGAGUUCAAACCG
rnacentral:rRNA from 1 species